rnacentral:rRNA from 1 species
GUCUGGUGCCCGCAGCCGCGGUAAUUCCAGCUCCAAUAGCGUAUAUUAAAGUUGUUGCAGUUAAAAAGCUCGUAGUUGAAUUUCGGGAUUCGUCCGUUGGUCGGGCUUCACUGUCCGUACUGGCGUGAUGGAUUCCUACCUUCUGAAGAACCAGUCAUGCUAUUAAUUUGGUGCGCCGGGAAACCAGAACUUUUACCUUGAAAAAAUUAGAGUG